AUUGAACGCUGGCGGCAGGCUUAACACAUGCAAGUCGAGCGGGGUGAUGGUGCUUGCACUAUCACUUAGCGGCGGACGGGUGAGUAAUGCUUAGGAAUCUGCCUAUUAGUGGGGGACAACAUCUCGAAAGGGAUGCUAAUACCGCAUACGUCCUACGGGAGAAAGCAGGGGAUCACUUGUGACCUUGCGCUAAUAGAUGAGCCUAAGUCGGAUUAGCUAGUUGGUGGGGUAAAGGCCUACCAAGGCGACGAUCUGUAGCGGGUCUGAGAGGAUGAUCCUCCACACUGGGACUGAGACACGGCCCAGACUCCUACGGGAGGCAGCAGUGGGGAAUAUUGGACAAUGGGGGGAACCCUGAUCUAGCCAUGCCGCGUGUAUGAAGAAGGCCUUAUGGUUGUAAAGCACUUUAAGCGAGGAGGAGGCUCUUUUGGUUAAUACCCAAGAUGAGUGGACGUUACUCGCAGAAUAAGCACCGGCUAACUCUGUGCCAGCCGCCGCCGUAA
rnacentral:rRNA from 1 species